CAAAGGCACUAGAAGUAAGAACCGACACGUGUCUACUUUCCUCGAUCCGCAAAACCCUCACUAAAAUCCAUAGCCUUGUCCCUCUUUCCUCUCUUCCCCCACUUCUCUCUGUCCAUCUCCUUCUUAUAAACACAAUCAUCUCGCUUUCUGAGAAACCACCCAUCCAGACUGCUUUGAUUUUCUUUCCUUGUUCCUUUGGAUUCUUUGCGUUUCAGAUCUGUGCUAUCUCUUUCUCUAUCUCUACUUAUUAUCACCCAGUUGCCUCUUGCCAAAAGAUGAAGCCUUGAAGAUGUUGCACAGACUUGGUUUUUUUCUGUGAUGCCAGAAUUAGAAGUCUUUGAUUACACUCUUACGAUGAUGGAUAAAGACUGAAUAUAUACCUACACUUUCCAUUGACUAAACAAGUUACACCUAGUAAAGUGUCCUCGGUCAUCUCGUCAUUGAAAGAUGAGAGACGUGUCAUGAAGUACCAUGUUGAAUUAAGCAAAGAUAUUUUUGGGCCAAAGUGUUUUGCUGUAGAAAACCAUAUUGAAUGUUUUCAAUAUGAUAUGAUCUCAUUGUGUCAUGAAGGGUUUAUUUGAUGUAAAAUGUUCUUGACUCUGCU